rnacentral:rRNA from 1 species
GAUGAACGCUGGCGGCGUGCCUAAUACAUGCAAGUCGAGCGGACGGACGCGGAGCUUGCUUUUCUGAUGUUAGCGGCGGACGGGUGAGUAACACGUGGAUACCCUACCUAUAAGACUGGGAUAACUUCGGGAAACCGGCGCUAAUACCGGAUAAUCUUUUGCACCGCAUUGUUCAAAAGUGAAAUACGGUCGUGCUGUCACUUAUAGAUGGAUCCGGGCUGCAUUAGAUAGUUGUUAAGUUAACGGCUUACCAAGGCUACGAUGCAUAGACGAGCUGAGAGAGUGGUCGGCCACACUGGAACUGAGACACGGUCCAGACUCCUACGGGAGGCAGCAGUAGGGAAUGUGACGCAAUGGGCGAAAGCCUGACGGAGCGACGCCGCGUGAGUGAUGAAGGUCUUGGGUUCGUAAAACUCUGUUAUGAGGGAAGAACAGAUGUGUAAGUAACUGUACACAUCUUGACGGUACCUAAUCAGAAAGCCACGGCUAACUACGUG